UACAGAGGGUGCAAGCGUUAAUCGGAAUUACUGGGCGUAAAGCGCACGUAGGUGGGUUGGUAAGUUGCUGGUGAAAAGCCUGGGCUUAACCUGGGUCGGUCCUGCAAAACUACCAGCCUAGAGUGUAUUAGAGGGAAGUGGAAUUUCCGGUGUAGCAGUGAAAUGCGUAGAUAUCGGAAGGAACAUCAGUGGCGAAGGCGACUUCCUGGAAUAUAACUGACACUGAGGUGCGACAGCGUGGGGAGCAAACAGG
rnacentral:rRNA from 1 species